UGCAAGUCGGACGGGAUCCAUCGGAGAGCUUGCUCGAAGAUGGUGAGAGUGGCGCACGGGUGCGUAACGCGUGAGCAACCUACCUCUAUCAGGGGGAUAGCCUCUCGAAAGAGAGAUUAACACCGCAUAACAUCAACAGUUCGCAUGUUCGGUUGAUUAAAUAUUUAUAGGAUAGAGAUGGGCUCGCGUGACAUUAGCUAGUUGGUAGGGUAACGGCCUACCAAGGCGACGAUGUCUAGGGGCUCUGAGAGGAGAAUCCCCCACACUGGUACUGAGACACGGACCAGACUCCUACGGGAGGCAGCAGUAAGGAAUAUUGGUCAAUGGGCGGAAGCCUGAACCAGCCAUGCCGCGUGCAGGAUGACUGCCCUAUGGGUUGUAAACUGCUUUUGUCCAGGAAUAAACCUAAAUACGUGUAUUUAGCUGAAUGUACUGGAAGAAUAAGGAUCGGCUAACUCCGUGCCAGCAGCCGCGGUAAUACGGAGGAUCCGAGCGUUAUCCGGAUUUAUUGGGUUUAAAGGGUGCGUAGGCGGCCUAUUAAGUCAGGGGUGAAAUACGGUGGCUCAACCAUCGCAGUGCCUUUGAUACUGAUGGGCUUGAAUCCAUUUGAAGUGGGCGGAAUAAGACAAGUAGCGGUGAAAUGCAUAGAUAUGUCUUAGAACUCCGAUUGCGAAGGCAGCUCACUAAGCUGGUAUUGACGCUGAUGCACGAAAGCGUGGGGAUCGAACAGGAUUAGAUACCCUGGUAGUCCACGCCCUAAACGAUGAUAACUCGAUGUUGGCGAUAGACAGCCAGCGUCCCAGCGAAAGCGUUAAGUUAUCCACCUGGGGGA
rnacentral:rRNA from 1 species